rnacentral:rRNA from 1 species
GAAGUGGCCACUUGGGAUGCCCUUCUCCAGGACAUCGCCCUCCUCCCGAUGAACGUCGUCGACACCCCUGACGCCAUAUCUUGGCGACUGGAGCCCUCCGGCUGCUUCUCCACCAAAUCCCUCUACGCGGCCAUCACCUCCUCGGCGGCCUUCGAGCCCUUUAGUUUGCUUUGGGAUAUUCGCUUGCCCAUGAAAAUCAGGAUCUUUCUAUGGCAAUGGAUCCGCGGCCGCCUCCCGUCCGGGGUGGAGGUUCUUAAGCGUAAUGGACCUGGAGAUGGGAUUUGUCCU